GACGAACGCUGGCGGCGUGCUUAACACAUGCAAGUCGAACGGAAAGGCCCUGCUUUUGUGGGGUGCUCGAGUGGCGAACGGGUGAGUAACACGUGAGUAACCUGCCCCUGACUUUGGGAUAACUUCAGGAAACUGGGGCUAAUACCGGAUAGGAGCUCCUGCUGCAUGGUGGGGGUUGGAAAGUUUCGGCGGUUGGGGAUGGACUCGCGGCUUAUCAGCUUGUUGGUGUGGUAGUGGCUUACCAAGGCUUUGACGGGUAGCCGGCCUGAGAGGGUGACCGGCAACAUUGGGACUGAGAUACGGCCCAGACUCCUACGGGAGGCAGCAGUGGGGAAUAUUGCACAAUGGGCGGAAGCCUGAUGUAGCAACGCCGCGUGCGGGAUGACGGCUUUCGGGUUGUAAACCGCUUUCGACUGUGACGAAGCGUGAGUGACGGUAAUGGGUAAAGAAGCACCGGCUAACUACGUG
rnacentral:rRNA from 1 species